CAGCCGCCGCGGGAAAACGAAGGGGGCUAGCGUUGUUCGGAAUUACUGGGCGUAAAGCGCACGUAGGCGGACUUUUAAGUCAGGGGUGAAAUCCCGGGGCUCAACCUCGGAACUGCCUUUGAUACUGGAAGUCUUGAGUGUGGAAGAGGUAAGUGGAAUUGCGAGUGUAGAGGUGAAAUUCGUAGAUAUUCGCAGGAACACCAGUGGCGAAGGCGGCUUACUGGUCCACAACUGACGCUGAGGUGCGAAAGCGUGGGGGGCAAACAGGAUUAGAUACCCCAGUAGUCCCUGUCUCUUAUAC
rnacentral:rRNA from 1 species